CCUACGGGAGGCAGCAGUAGGGAAUAUUGGACAAUGGGCGAAAGCCUGAUCCAGCAAUGCCGCGUGAGUGAAGAAGGCCUUAGGGUUGUAAAGCUCUUUCGGCGGGGAAGAUGAUGACGGUACCCGCAGAAGAAGCCCCGGCUAACUUCGUGCCAGCAGCCGCGGUAAUACGAAGGGGGCUAGCGUUGUUCGGAAUCACUGGGCGUAAAGGGCGCGUAGGCGGCUUGGCAAGUCAGGUGUGAAAGGCCUGGGCUCAACCCAGGAACUGCACUUGAGACUGCCUCGCUUGAGUCCGGGAGAGGAUGGCGGAAUUCCCAGUGUAGAGGUGAAAUUCGUAGAUAUUGGGAAGAACACCGGUGGCGAAGGCGGCCAUCUGGACCGGUACUGACGCUGAGGCGCGAAAGCGUGGGGAGCAAACAGGAUUAGAUACCCCUGUAGUC
rnacentral:rRNA from 1 species